rnacentral:rRNA from 1 species
UGAGUAACACGUAUCCAACCUGCCGUCUACUCUUGGACAGCCUUCUGAAAGGAAGAUUAAUACAAGAUGGCAUCAUGAGUCCGCAUGUUCACAUGAUUAAGGGUAUUCCGGUAGACGAUGGGGAUGCGUUCCAUUAGAUAGUAGGCGGGGUAACGGCCCACCUAGUCUUCGAUGGAUAGGGGUUCUGAGAGGAAGGUCCCCCACAUUGGAACUGAGACACGGUCCAA